CAGGCAAGGUCAUUUCCCAACCUUAUUCUUAGCUUCCUUGUAUGUAUCGCUAGUGUCAGAUUAUUCAUAUUACUUAACUUGGUGAUUAUUGGGAAGUGAAGGUCACAGGUGCGGGAGGGGUGCAAAGGGAUAAGUGGAUUGUUCUCUCCCCCUUUACCUUUUGUCUGUAAACAAGCAUCUCUUCUUUAAAAAUGAUACAGCAGGAUUGAGGCUUGGUUGGACUCCAUCCAGUUCUUUGAGCUUAUAUUUUAUAGGUGUAUAAAAUAUUAGCAGACACAUAUCACCUUUCUAAAAAAUGAAUGGAAUUAUUUGUUUAUCAAAGAAAAAGCUACUUGACCUAAAUCAGGGAUGAACAACAAAGAGGAACAACUUAUCUUUGUUUUUCCCAGACAACCAACUAAAGUCUUCUCACCCAGCUUCUGAUGCCAUUUCUGACUGGAGAAUCCCCUGCUAACAAAUUGCCACUAUACAAACUGUAUACAGUACUGCUUCUUACAGUUCAACACAACUCUGCAGAAAAAUAAACUCAAUCUUUGGGAGACCCAGAAUUUGAACUGAGUACAUCAGACAUAUUUACUCAACCCUGGAUAAAUAAAAGUAUAUUUUGAACUAUCUCAUUCUGACUUAUGAUCUGAGCUUGGAGCAACUAUAACAAUCCUUUAUCUGACUAUCUAAGUCCAUCAACCCCUCUUUCUUUUGAAUCACAGUUAUCUUUCAGGUGGUUCUUCAACCAGUUGUUCUCUGCUCCUGGGGCUCCUUGAGCCACCUACACAUAUCCUGUCUGCCAGCAGGUGCAUUAAGAGGGAGCGUCUCUGAUAGUAGGCCUCUUCUACAAUGCAGCACAAAAGUUUGAAGAGGAAAGUACCAUCAGCUCCAAAACAGCAAGUUCUGUCAACAUAGCAAUUAAGCUGUCAACGGUUUUAUGUGAAUCUCAGUUCAUGCUUUUGUUAACCCUUCCUUGUAUUUUUUCUAUGCUUCUCCUUGCUUGCUGUUUUAAUAAGAAUUGUGACUCAUUGCAUUUAAUCACUGACAGGAUUUUUUAAAAGGAAGAAACUUUAUUUUCUCAUCUUGUUACAUUCCUGUCUAUUCUACCCAUUGUAAAGACUUGUGUUGCUGUAUUUGGUUGUUUAGCAAAUGUAACGCAUCACACUGUCAUGUUUGUGUUUUAGAUCAUAAUAAUCUAGCUACCAAAGUAUUCAUUUCAGAAGUAUCAGUUUAAGAAAGGGAAAGGAGGGGGACAGAGAGAUUUUUGCAUUCAAAUGAGGAAGCUGACUUUGUUGUUAAACAGAAUUGUAUGUUUAAAGAUCAUUCUUUAAAAAGGCAAGCCAGCCGUUAAUAUUUUGUUGUUUAAAUUUUAUUUUCUAGAGAAGAAUGAGUCAUUUUUUUAAGAAAUAAAGAGGUGCCUCUGCAGCUGUAAUCAGCAUAAUCCCAAUUAUAUAACAGAUUGUUAACAGAAUAACAGAGUUGGAAGGGACCUUGGAGGUCUUCUAGUUGAACCCCCUACUCAAACAGGAAACCCUAUACCAUUUCAAAAAAAUCAUUGUCCAAUUCCUUCUUAAAUCUCCAGUUUUAGAGCAGUCAUAACUUCUGGAGGCAAAUCAUUCCACUGGUUAAUUGUUCUAACUGACAGGAAAUUCCUCCUGCGUUCUAUGUUGGAUCUCUCCUUGACUAGUUUCCAUCCACAGCUUCUUUUUCCUGCCUUGGAAAAUAGGUUGACUUCCUCUUCUUUGUGGCACCCCCUUAGAUAUUGAAACAUGGUUAUCAUGUCCCCUAGUCAGAGGUGGGUUUCAGCAGGUUCUGACCAGUUCUGGAAAAUCGGUAGUGGAAAUUUUGAGUAGUUCGGAGAACCGGUAAAUACCACCUUUGACUGGCCCCGCCCCCACUAUUCUCUGCCUCCCGAGUCCCAGCUGAUCGGAAGGAAAUGGGGAUUUUGCAGUAUCCUUCCCCUGGGGUGGGAAUGGAGAUUUUACAGUAUCCUUCCCCUGCCACGCCCACAAGCCAUGCCACGCCCACCAAGCAACACGCACAGAACCGGUAGUAAAAAAAUUUGAAACUCACCUCUGCCCCUAGUCCUUCUUUUCAUUAAACUAGACAUCCCCAAUUCCAGCAACCAUUCUCCAUAUGUUUUAGCCUCCAGUAUUACUGGAGGCUAUUGUUGAAUGCAAGGCAUCCAGGCAUUCUGAAAAUUGUUCUGAACACUGUAUACAUAAGAUUGGAUGACCAGGUCUACAUAUUCAGAAUGUAUAAAACUGCUUCUGCUGGAGAAAUCUGGGCUUUUAGCAUUUAAUAUAAGUGUCUGAAGGAAGAAGUCCUGUGAAGGUGGGAACCUCCAUCUUUUUCCAUACUGAAUGGAUAUCUUAACUUACCACAGCAGGUGCUCUGAGGUAAAGUUCUUGCGCUAAAUACACCACAUUUUCAGCAAUAAUUGUAUCAUAUGUCUGAUGCUGGGUCAUGUGUGUUUAAUUUAGCCAUAAUAGCAGUCAUAUUUUACAGGGGAAGUCCUCUGUUUGAAAGAUUGUGCAAUCUAUGUCUAGUUUGAAGAUAAAGAAUCCUAUAAAGGCAUAGGAAUAAACAUUAAGGUAUAUAUCAUUAUCUAGCAACUGAAUAGUCAUCCAGAUGAAAUCUUUUAUACCAAGAAGUGAUGUCUUUUAUUUCUAUUUAAAUGAAUUAUAUAAUAUGAUAAUCAUGGCCUGUAGAAUAUGUAUAGAAAUGUCCUUAGCGUAUAAUACGGUAUUUAUUUAUACAUUUACAUCUCUUUGUAACUUAUGCAAAUAUAACCCCGAUAUAACAUUAGAACUAUAUGGGAAAAUACUGUGUACUGUAUACAAACAAUUUUGUAAGAAGAGGAAAAAACAGAUACAAGAAAUAAAGUGAAAACUAAAGUAAAGCUGUACAUGGCAGAAGGAUUCCCAUACAAAAAAUAUCUUGGUGAAACCAGUUUGGGAAUAUAAUAUGGAGCAGGAAAAUAGGCAACAGGAAGUAUUGAAUGUCUGUGAAAUUUUGUCUCCUGUCACUUCUUAUUCCAAAAUAGGACUUUGGCCAGCCUUACCUCAUGUUUCCAGAUUUUGUUUUUUCACCUCUGGAGUCCUAUACAUACCUUUGGGAGACCCACUUUUGAGCACCAGGUUGAAAAUUUGACCUUGUCAAAUCUAAUACAUCAAGGAGGAGCUUUGAUGUUUAGUUUUAAACUUGUCUAGAUCAGUGGUGGGUUGCCCCCAGUUCGGACCGGUUCUAUAGAACCAGUAGAAAAACCGGUGGGAGGCUCCACCCACUGAUCCGAACGUCAUCAAAAGUGAUUUGCGCAUGCGGGCACGAUGCGAACCAGUAGUAAAGGUAAGUAGAACCCACCCCUGGUCUAGAUGUUGUUUAAAAUUAGCCUACAGGGCUAAUCACCAUUUUGAAUGUCUUAAGGGGUUUUUUUUCCUAUUCUUUCUCCGGAUAUCUGUGUAUUUUAUGAAAUAAGGGAAUUGUUAACCCUGAAGUGAACCUGGCUGAGGCCAUGUUGGAGGCUUCUGGGUUGCCACACAACAGAGGGAGGGGGGAAAUAGCUAAAUGGGGGUUUUGUAGCCAAAACAAUAAAAUUUUCCUGUGGGAACCAAGGACAUUCUCACAGGUGAGUGGCCAGAGGUGGAGCGAAGUAACCAAGCAACUGGCCAGCACCUUAUUGGACAGCGUGACCAGUGACGUGGGGAGAAAGAGGAAACUUUUACUUUUUAAUUAGGUGAAAGCCGCAGGAACUUUCAGAGUUCACUUUCACGA